rnacentral:lncRNA from 1 species
GGGGGUGGGAUGUGGGGGGAGAUGGGGGUCCUGAGUCUGCAGGUGCUCUGGGGGGUCCUGUUUGCUCCCGGGGCCACGCUGGUGGUGGGUGGAGCCUCUGGAGACCAGGGUCCAGGGCCAGGAGGGGCAUUAAGUAGCUGAAUAAAUUUAAGGACCCCCCUCCCCACCGAGCGCCCUAGUUGCCAUUCUCUCAUCCGAGUCGGAGGGAGUUGGGUUUGUUCACGUGUUUCUGCAGCUCUUACUUCCCUAUCGCUGUGGUUCUGAGCGCCUUACGCUCCCUUAGUCUCCCAGACGCCCCUGUGAGGCAGGUAACCUGUAUCUGCAUCUCACUGAGGAGUAAGGGAAGGCACAGGGGGGCCGGGAGGCUGAUGCAGGCCCCAGGCCAGUGCAGCGCGGCAGGAACGCCCUUGCAGCGUCUGGCUCCACGGCUCGGCUUACUCGGUUCUACUGCUGGGCCUCUCGGAGCAGGAAUGUCAGCUGCCCCCUCCCUCCUGGCUGAUGAGCAGGAUUUUAUGAGGCAGUGGUGACAGGACGACUUGCUGGAAGCCCUUUUGGCUCUGAACAUCUGAGAAAAUGAAGGGACAUGAAGCUGUUACCUGGAUAGACUGCAUGGAAAUCUCAUUAAUUCAGAACACAAGGGACCAGACAAAAUGGAUUUUGAAUUAAUUAGGUUUGCAGUAUGUGAAAGUAUUGCUGAGGAAUAUAGGGCAUCGUGUUGCUAAGAAAUCCCCAUUCAUUACAUCACCCGAUGCGUUGUCUUAGGUACAAUGAUAGUGACAAGGAGGUUUCCCGUAUUUGGGGACAAAAUGACAGGUGGCUGGAGGCCUGGUGGUCUGCCCUUUCGGCUGUCUUGAUAAAAUUUAUUUGAUCUUGUCUGUUGCCUCAGCUUCCAGCACCAUCUGGGCGAUUCUCAAGUCCUGCCCUUAAAUCAUGUUUUCUUUUUCUUUUGAAUCCUGACCAGCCUACUGGUUCACCAGAUAUCGCAUGGUUUGUUUUUGAUUCGUCGAUUCUUAAAGAUCCAAUAUUCUUUUUUUUCUUUUAAAUUUGAGAUCAUCUCU